CCGAGUUUUCAACUCCCCAACCCUUCUGUGAACCUACCUAUCGUUGCUUCGGCGGACUCGCCCCAGCCCGGACGCGGACUGGACCAGCGGCCCGCCGGGGACCUCAAACUCUUGUAUUCCAGCAUCUUCUGAAUACGCCGCAAGGCAAAACAAAUGAAUCAAAACUUUCAACAACGGAUCUCUUGGCUCUGGCAUCGAUGAAGAACGCAGCGAAAUGCGAUAAGUAAUGUGAAUUGCAGAAUCCAGUGAAUCAUCGAAUCUUUGAACGCACAUUGCGCCCGCCAGCAUUCUGGCGGGCAUGCCUGUUCGAGCGUCAUUUCAACCCUCGACCUCCCCUUGGGGACGUCGGCGUUGGGGACCGGCAGCACACCGCCGGCCCUGAAAUGGAGUGGCGGCCCGUCCGCGGCGACCUCUGCGUAGUAAUACAGCUCGCACCGGAACCCCGACGCGGCCACGCCGUAAAACACCCAACUUCUGAACGUUGACCUCGAAUCAGGUAGGACUACCCGCU
rnacentral:rRNA from 1 species